AAUGAACGCUGGCGGCAGGCCUAACACAUGCAAGUCGAACGGAUCCUUCGGGAUUAGUGGCGGACGGGCGAGUAACGCGUGGGAACAUACCCAAAGGUACGGAAUAGCCUCGGGAAACUGGGAGUAAUACCGUAUGUGCUCGAAAGAGGAAAGAUUUAUCGCCUUUGGAUUGGCCCGCGCUGGAUUAGGUAGUUGGUGGGGUAAUGGCCUACCAAGCCGACGAUCCAUAGCUGGUUUGAGAGGAUGAUCAGCCACACUGGGACUGAGACACGGCCCAGACUCCUACGGGAGGCAGCAGUGGGGAACCUUAGACAAUGGGGGAAACCCUGAUCUAGCCAUGCCGCGUGAUCGAUGAAGGCCUUAGGGUUGUAAAGAUCUUUCAGGUGGGAAGAUAAUGACUGUACCACCAGAAGAAGCCCCGGCUAACUCCGUGCCAGCCGCCGCGGUAA
rnacentral:rRNA from 1 species